CCUACGGGAGGCAUCAGUGAGGAAUAUUGGUCAAUGGGCGCGAGCCUGAACCAGCCAAGUAGCGUGAAGGAUGACUGCCCUACGGGUUGUAAACUUCUUUUAUGAAGGAAUAAAGUGAGGCACGUGUGCCUUUUUGUAUGUACUUUAUGAGUAAGGAUCGGCUAACUCCGUGCCAGCAGCCGCGGUAAUACGGAGGAUCCGAGCGUUAUCCGGAUUUAUUGGGUUUAAAGGGAGCGUAGAUGGGUUGUUAAGUCAGUUGUGAAAGUUUGCGGCUCAACCGUAAAAUUGCAAUUGAUACUGGCAGCCUUGAGUACAGUUGAGGUAGGUGGAAUUCGUGGUGUAGCGGUGAAAUGCUUAGAUAUCACGAAGAACUCUGAUUGCGAAGGCAGCUUACUAAACUGCCACUGACAUUGAUGCGCGAAAGUGUGGGUAUCAAACAGGAUUAGAUACCCCAGUAGUC
rnacentral:rRNA from 1 species